GACGAACGCGGCGGCGUGCUUAACACAUGCAAGUCGAACGAAGAGCGAUGGAAGCUUGCUUCUAUCAAUCUUAGUGGCGAACGGGUGAGUAACGCGUAAUCAACCUGCCCUUCAGAGGGGGACAACAGUUGGAAACGACUGCUAAUACCGCAUACGAUCUGACCUCGGCAUCGAGGAUAGAUGAAAGGUGGCCUCUACAUGUAAGCUAUCACUGAAGGAGGGGAUUGCGUCUGAUUAGCUAGUUGGAGGGGUAACGGCCCACCAAGGUGAUGAUCAGUAGCCGGUCUGAGGGGAUGAACGGCCACAUUGGGACUGAGACACGGCCCAGACUCCUACGGGAGGCAGCAGUGGGGAAUCUUCCGCAAUGGACGAAAGUCUGACGGAGCAACGCCGCGUGAGUGAUGACGGCCUUCGGGUUGUAAAGCUCUGUUAAUCGGGACGAAAGGCCUUUUUGCGAAUAGUGAGAAGGAUUGACGGUACCGGAAUA
rnacentral:rRNA from 1 species